rnacentral:tRNA from 1 species
CAUGGUGGCACAGUGGUUAAUGUAUCUGACUGGGAACCACGAGGUUGCAGGUUCGAUCCCUGCCCUUG